AUGGGUGCCGAGCUGAUGCGUCGCUUCUUAUAUCGCAAGGUCGUCCUCUCCGACUGCGACUCGCCAUCACCGGGCCCCGCCGCCGCCAUGCUGAUCACGGGACCGCGAUUCGGCGUCCCGGCCUUCGCCACGGCGGAGGGCGGCGGGUGGAGGCUGGCUCCCUCGCGUGAUGGUGUGGAGGACGCUGUCCACUACAACGGCAAGUUCCACUCCAUCACCUACACCGGCGCCGUGCAGGCGUGGGAGCAGGAUGGCAAUGCCGGCGGCGUGUUCAUGAGCGUGGUGAUCGCGCCAAGGCUGCCCGAUGCGGAAGGAGAUUCGUCAGUCUGCCACCGCAAGUACCUCGUGGCGUCGCCGGGCGGCCGGCAGAUGGUGGUGCUCAAGGAGUCCAAGGAGGAGACCACGGAUAAGUACUCCCGCCCUCGAAGGACGUGCUCCUUCAAGGUGCAGGUCCUUGACGGCGAACAGUGGAGGGAAACGGACGAUAUCGGGGACGCCGCACUGUUCGUGGGGGUGAACAGUUCGCUGUGCAUGUCGACGAGGGAGCACCCGGAGCUCAGGGCCGGCUGCAUCUACUACACAGAGAACGAUCAGGGACCGUGCAAGGACGAUGAAGACAACGGAGCCGGGGUGUUCAGCCUCAAGGACGGCAGAGCGGAGAAGGUCGAGGGCCUCGGGCGGCACAGGAGCUGGCCGCCUCUGGCAUGGUUCAUCCCUUCAAUCCCAUGA
rnacentral:rRNA from 1 species